AGCCCAAUGAGGAAGAAUUCCCAUAGAUAGGAAGUGCCGUAUGACAUUUUAAUCAGCAGCGACAACUCGCUAAGGAAUGUCUCCGUCUUCCCAUCCGCCAAUCCUCGGCCCCUCUGAUUCUUGUUCUUAGGUGCUUUGUGUUUGGCCGGGAAAUCCGGGUCUUCCUCUUGGCUUGUUAUCCUGUGUGAGAGAUUUGAAACGGGUCUCUGAGGGUU